rnacentral:snRNA from 1 species
GUGCUCGCCUCGGCAGCACAUAUACUAAAAUUGGAAUGAUACAGAGAAGAUUAGCAUGGCCCCUGCACAAGGAUGACAUGCAAAUUCGUGAAGCAUUCCAUAUUAAA